AAACAGAGUAAGUCACCCACUUCUCCAUCAGUUGCUGACCACGGAGGCAAAACCACUGACCACCCCUCUAUCUGUCUUCAGUAACCUCGUCCUGUCCCAUGGGAAACAGAGUAUCCAGCGGCCACAUGUCCCACCCUCUUGGGAAGCUGUCCUGGGGCAGCUGCAAGGAGGACAAGGCCAAGCUGGAGGACUUCCUGGCCAAACAGCAAGAGGAUUUGUUGGUGGUCCCCAAGCAUGGCUGUGCUAGGAACAAGCUGGACCAUCUCGCUAGGAGCAGCUGCCUCCGUUACGUCCACCUGCCCACAUGCCCUCAGACCAGCAAAUUCUGUCUUAACAGGGGAGAGAUGUGUAACCCAGCCUUUGUGGAAGACCAGAACUCCUGAGUCACCCAGGAAAGAACCAUUGACUUCUGUUUAUCAUGGACAGCCAUACUGCCCAACCAAGCAAAAAGGCAGUAACUGCUAAUUUGGUCAAAAAUGUGUUAAUGUAAUUUUUGCUAAAUUAAAUACAUGCUUCAUCAUGUGGACAAGUAUCCUGCCACUGUUGUAUUGUGUUCUGGAGAAAAUGGGGGUCAUAUUAACAGUAACUGCAGUAGGUUACUGUGAAACCAAGAUAAAUAAAAGCAAUUUUCCUCAGUUCCA